rnacentral:rRNA from 1 species
UGCUCAGGACGAACGCUGGCGGCGUGCUUAACACAUGCAAGUCGAACGAUGAAAGAGGGAGCUUGCUUUCUCUGGAUUAGUGGCGAACGGGUGAGUAACACGUGAGCAAUCUGCCCUUGACUCUGGGAUAAGCGUUGGAAACGACGUCUAAUACCGGAUACGAACUUCAGCCGCAUGGCUAGGGGUUGGAAAGAAUUUCGGUCAAGGAUGAGCUCGCGGCCUAUCAGCUUGUUGGUGAGGUAAUGGCUCACCAAGGCGACGACGGGUAGCCGGCCUGAGAGGGUGACCGGCCACACUGGGACUGAGACACGGCCCAGACUCCUACGGGAGGCAGCAGUGGGGAAUAUUGCACAAUGGGCGCAAGCCUGAUGCAGCAACGCCGCGUGAGGGACGACGGCCUUCGGGUUGUAAACCUCUUUUAGCAGGGAAGAAGCGCAAGUGACGGUACCUGCAGAAAAAGCACCGGCUAACUACGUGCCAGCAGCCGCGGUAAUACGUAGGGUGCAAGCGUUGUCCGGAAUUAUUGGGCGUAAAGAGCUCGUAGGCGGUUUGUCGCGUCUGCUGUGAAAUCCCGAGGCUCAACCUCGGGCCUGCAGUGGGUACGGGCAGACUAGAGUGCGGUAGGGGAGAUUGGAAUUCCUGGUGUAGCGGUGGAAUGCGCAGAUAUCAGGAGGAACACCGAUGGCGAAGGCAGAUCUCUGGGCCGUAACUGACGCUGAGGAGCGAAAGCGUGGGGAGCGAACAGGAUUAGAUACCCUGGUAGUCCACGCCGUAAACGUUGGGAACUAGAUGUGGGGACCAUUCCACGGUCUCCGUGUCGCAGCUAACGCAUUAAGU